rnacentral:rRNA from 1 species
GACGAACGCUGGCGGCGUGCUAACACAUGCAAGUCGAGCGAUGAAAGCCUUAUGAACUAUUCGUAGUGAUUGGGGCCGGAUUAGCGGCGGACGGGUGAGUAACGCGUGAGCAACCUGCCUUAAACAACGGGAUAGCCUCGGGAAACCGGGAUUAAUACCGUAUGAGACCCCGCCUUCACAUGAAGAAGAGGUUAAAGAUUUAUCGGUUUAAGAUGGGCUCGCGUCUGAUUAGCUAGUUGGUGAGAUAAAAGCCCACCAAGGCAACGAUCAGUAACCGGCUUGAGAGAGUGAACGGUCACAUUGGAACUGAGACACGGUCCAAACUCCUACGGGAGGCAGCAGUGGGGAAUAUUGCACAAUGGGGGAAACCCUGAUGCAGCGACGCCGCGUGAGCGAUGAAGGAAUUCGUUUCGUAAAGCUCUGUCCAAGGGGAAGAUAAUGACAGUACCCUUGGAGGAAGCCCCGGCUAAAUACGUGCCAGCAGCCGCGGUAA